AACGUAGGAGACAAACGUUAUCCGGAGUUACUGGGCGUAAAGGGCGUGUAGGUGGUUUCGUAAGUCUGGCGUGAAAUAUCUCGGCUUAACCGAGGCAGGUCGUCGGAUACUGCGGAACUGGAGGACGGUAGAGGCGUGUGGAAUUCCGGGUGUAGCGGUGAAAUGCGUAGAGAUCCGGAGGAACACCAGUGGCGAAGGCGACACGCUGGGCCGUACCUGACACUGAUGCGCGACAGCAUGGGGAGCAAACAGG
rnacentral:rRNA from 1 species